rnacentral:rRNA from 1 species
AUUGAACGCUGGCGGCAGGCCUAACACAUGCAAGUCGAGCGGAUGAUGGGAGCUUGCUCCUUGAUUCAGCGGCGGACGGGUGAGUAAUGCCUAGGAAUCUGCCUGGUAGUGGGGGACAACGUUUCGAAAGGAACGCUAAUACCGCAUACGUCCUACGGGAGAAAGCAGGGGACCUUCGGGCCUUGCGCUAUCAGAUGAGCCUAGGUCGGAUUAGCUAGUAGGUGAGGUAAUGGCUCACCUAGGCGACGAUCCGUAACUGGUCUGAGAGGAUGAUCAGUCACACUGGAACUGAGACACGGUCCAGACUCCUCCGGGAGGCAGCAGUGGGGAAUAUUGGACAAUGGGCGAAAGCCUGAUCCAGCCAUGCCGCGUGUGUGAAGAAGGUCUUCGGAUUGUAAAGCACUUUAAGUUGGGAGGAAGGGCAGUAAGUUAAUACGUGGCGAUUUUGACGUUACCGACAGAAUAAGCACCGGCUAACUCUGUGCCAGCAGCCGCCGUAAUAC